rnacentral:tRNA from 1 species
GGGGGAUUAGUUCAGUUGGUAGAACGUCGCCUUUGCAAGGCGGAUGCGCGCGGUUCGAAUCCGCGAUCCUCCACCA